rnacentral:rRNA from 1 species
GGCGGUGUCAACGAGUCAGACCUUCUGGCCUGAAAAGGUUGGGUAAACUGGUCAAUCACCGUCAUGACAGGGAUCGGGGCUUGGAAUUAUUCCCCGUGAACGAGGAAUUCCUAGUAAGUGCAAGUCAUAAGCUUGCGCUGAUUACGUCCCUGCCCUUUGUACACACCGCCCGUCGCUACUACCGAUUGAAUGGUUUAGUAAGGUCCUUGGAUCGGCGCCAUCUUGGUGCCCCGAAAGGUGGCUACCUGGCCGGUGCUGAGAAGACGACCAAAC